UCUUGCUCUUUGGCACGAAGGCCACUUCCGGGUUCCGUUUACGUGCUUUCUCCGCUGGCACCGACCCUUGCAGGGAUCCUGCAGCCCAUGUCUGCUGCCGCUGCUGAACGAAGCUCUCCUGCUGUGUGUCUUAACUUAGCCUGAUCGUUGCUGAGAGCCAAAGGUGUGUUGGCUCCCCCUGGUGUUGGUGUUCCUUCGUGUGUGAGUGUUUAGUGAUCACGGGUGCCCUCAUUUACUUUGUGGGGAUCCCUCUCACCCCUCGUCACCUCCAUCCACUGGUAAGCCUCAGCAUCCCUUA